rnacentral:lncRNA from 1 species
AAUUGCUUAGAUUUUAAGUCGAAUGUAUGCUAUAAAUAGAGUUGCCAUCCAUCACAAAUAUUCAUCUUUUCUUGGAAUACAAUAUGUGACAAUUGUCUUUCUAAUAAAAGUUCUUUUACUUUCUUGUUAUUUACUUUUAUGCUUUCUCCCUUCUUCCCCUUGUCUACGAUGAACAUUAGUGAGUAGACUUCUCAUUGUCUUGGGAUUGUUGGAUAUGUCUAAAUGACAUAAUCCUAACCAAACCAAGCUUUAAACCUUAAUCUUAUGUAACCCUAAUUUCUUAUCUAAAUUCACUGCUUCAACAUGGAUGAACCAUUAUCAAACUGUGGAAACGAAAGUGGAGGGUUUGAUAAUUGUUUAUCCAUCAUCUCAAAUAUCAAUUCAUAAAACGAAAGUGGAGAUUUGAUAUUCGAACAAGUGAAUUUAGACAAAGAUUGUAAAGGCAGCGAAAUAGUCUUUACAAUCUUUGAGACAUAUAGUUUCGAACUUCAAGGAUUCUAAAUUGUGAUCAAGUCAGCGAAAUAGGCUUGGUUGCAACUUAGGACCAAAAUCUGAUAGUAAUCAAGUCAGCGAAAUAGGCUUGGUUGCUAGAGGAACAAAAGAGAAACUGUCUUGAGAAAUUAGGUCUAACAUAAAGUUAUAAGUUUAAUAGUUUGGUUUGAGAAGGACUUGUCGUUAGGAUGAACCAAUAAUCCCAAGAGUUUUAUCUUUUAUUAUUAUUUUCUUUUAAAUAUACAAAAAUACAACUUUCUACUUUCUAUACUUUAAUUCUAAUCAUUGUUAAAAGAUAAUUGAAUUCAUAACUCCCUGUCGGAACGAUACUCUUAUUUUACUACUUCCAUAGGACCGUGCACUUGCGGUUUUAUCCCAUCAACAGCCCUUAACUAAAUAUUUUAUUUUAUUUUCAAAUCUUAUUUAAUUGUUUAAUAAAAUAAGUCUCAUAUCUCAUAAAAAAAAAAUCAUCAAAACACAUAACUCAUCUAAAAUCAUCCAAAUCAUUUAAAUCGUCAUAAAUGAUCAAGCACAACUGCAAGAGACUUCCUAUCCUCCUUAGCACAAUCAAGAGACUUCUAAUGCUCAAGCACAACUGCAAAAUACUUCAAACAGAAUUACAAGAAAAAUGUUUGAGGUUGAACAGUUGAUAUAUAAUUAGUGGUGUUCAGAAUACAAAUCAGAUACAGACUCUUAAGACUCUAGAAUUUCUAAAAUAUGGAAGUUGAUAAGAAAUUCUAAGUGAACUUUUGAAUGCAGAACAAUUUCAGCAGAGUUUUGGCACUUGUAAUACUUCGUAUUGUUCUUAUGAAACUCUGAGUCUUUACUCCUUUAUAUAGAGGUGUGAAAGAGACUUUGUGAAUUUCCAGCACAUUCAAAAUAGAGUUGUUUAAAGCUUUGCUCAAUCACCAAUGAUCUUUUGCCUGAUAAGGUUAUUGUCCUAAGAAGGAUCAAUUUCAAAUGCAUUCCCAUUGCGAAGGAACAUCGUUGCAGGCUGAGUUGUUUUUCUUGUUUUGUAGCAGAGACAAAAACAGAGUAGUGGAGGUAGUGGUUGUACACUUCGUACAAUCGUACUUUGUCAACGCUCUUUGAUAAGUCAUUUAUUGCUUAUUUUUAUAUGCUUUUUAGUUUAGUUUUAAUUAGAUUUUAUUUUAUAUUAGUAUUAUUUUCUUUUUAGGAUAGUUUACUACAAAUUGCUUUUUAUUUUAUUUCAGGAAUGAAUAUUGGAUGGAUUGAGUCUUGGAGCAAAAGAAAGGGGCUUGGAGCUGAUUGAAUGCGAAAAUACGAAGAUUCGGAGACAAAAAUACGUCUCCCCCAAGUUAGAACUUUGGCACGGCCGUGCCACCCUCCAGAGUCGCUUUCGCAGCUUUUGCUUAGAUUUUAAGUCGAAUGUAUGCUAUAAAUAGAGUAGCCAUCCAUCAGAAAUAUUCAUCUUUUCUUGGAAUUUAAUAAGUGACAAUUGCUUUUCUAAUUAAAGUUCUUUUCUUUUCCUUUAUUUUCUUGUCAUUUACUUUUAUGCUUUCUCUCUUCUUCCCCAUGUCUACGAUGAACAUGAGUGAGUAGACUUCCUUGUCUUGGGAUUGUUUGAUAAGUCUAAAUGACAUAAGAGAAACAUAAGAGAAACUGUUUUGAGAAAUUAGGUCUAACAUAAAGUUAUAAGCUUUUAGUUUAGUUUGUAAAGGACUUGUCAUUUAGAUGAACCAACAAUUCCAAAGCUCCUUUUAUUAUUAUUAUUAUCUUUCAACGCUUGAAAACCCCAACUUACAAUCCUUUUCUCCUCUAAUCAUUACCAAAGGUUAAUUGAAUUAAACUACUCCCUGUCGGAACGAUACUCUUUUCAUACUACUUCGGUAAGACCGUGCACUUGCGGUUUUAUCUCAUCAAGUUUUUGGCGCCGCUGCCGGGGAGUACUUUGUGAUUAGAACUCCUUCUCCCUCUUUUCUUCUUCUUCUUCUUUCUUUCUUUCCUUACACUUGACUUCUUGGGUGGCAUAAACUAAUAGAUAACAUGGCUGAGGAACGCACUCUUAAGGAGUAUUCGAUCCCUUCUUCAGAUGAGCCAUGCACUAUUAUAGUCUACCCAACGGUCGAAGGUAGUAGCUUCAAAAUAAAACCUGCACUACUAUGUUUGGUACAACAAAACCAGUUUUCUGGAUCACCCUCUGAAGACCCAAAUUUGCAUAUCUCAACCUUUUGGAGACUUAGUGUAACUUACAAAGACGACCAAGAGACCGUUAGGCUACAUCUCUUCCCUUUUUCUCUAAAAGAUAAGGCCAGCAAUUAGUUCAAUUCUUUAAAACCCGGCUCCAUCACCUCAUGGGAUCAACUGGGGCGAGAAUUCCUUUGUUGUUUCUUUCCCCCAUCAAAAACCGCCCAACUUAGGGGAAGGCUUUACCAAUUUACUCAAGAAAGCGGGGAAUCUCUUUACGAUGUGUGGGAGCGUUUUAAAGAAAUACUUAGACUUUGUCCCCAUCAUGGUUUGGUGAAAUGGUUAAUCAUCCACACCUUCUACAAUGGUUUAACAUCUAACACUAAGUUAACUGUUGAUGCAGCUGCAGGUGGUGCCCUAAUGAACAAAGAUUUUACAACAGCUUAUGCCUUGAUUGAAGACAUGGCUCUAAACCAUUUUCAAUGGACUGAAGAGAAAGGAAUCAUCAACUCUUCACCCUUUGAAAAAGAGGCAAGUAUGAACGAAAUCUCUUCCUUUGACUAUCUAUCUACCAAGGUGAAUGCACUAUCUCAAAGACUUGAUCACAUGAAUACUUGUGCUGUCGCACCUACUUCUUUUUUACCUCCAUGUGAAGCAUGUGGCAUAUCUAGUCAUUUUAGCAUCGAUUGCAAACUAGUUAGUGUUGAGCAGUUAAACUUUGUUCAGAAUGGCCAAAGAGUUGUUCAAAAGUCUCACAUUGAACUUUUAAUGGAAAACUAUUUUCUUAAACAAUCCGAAUAGCUCCAAGAGCUUAAGAAUCAAACCAGACUUUUGACCGACUCUCUUGCCACUCUCACAACAAAGAUAGACUCCAUCUCCUCUCACAACAAAACUUCAUAAACUCAGCUCUCCCAAGUAGUUCAUAAGGUCGGUUACCCCAACAAAAUGAAUAUUGUUACACUUAGGAGUGGUAAGCCACUCAAAGACCCCAUAUGGAUAACCAAAUCCAAUGAAAGUGAGAAAGAGAUUUGCGAACCACCGCUAAGGGAAACUAGGGUAGAAAGAGAAGAACCACGAGUUGAGGAAACCACACCAGAUCCCUUUAAGCCAAAAAUUCCCUUCCCGCAAAGGUUUGCCAAAUCUAAGCUAGAUGAGCAAUUUAAAAAGUUCAUAGAAAUGAUGAACAAAAUAUACAUUGAUGUGCCUUUCACCGAAGUCUUAACCCAAAUGCCUACCUAUGCUAAAUUUUUAAAAGAAAUCCUUUCUCAAAAGAGAAAAAUUGAGGAAGGUGAGACGGUUAACCUUACGGAAGAAUGUAGUGCCAUCAUCCAAAAUAAACUGCCACCAAAGCUUAAAGACCUAGGUAGUUUUUCCAUACCUUGUGUCAUAGGGUCGGAAGUAGUGAAUAAAGCUAUGUGUGACCUAGGAGCCAGUGUCAGCCUAAUGCCUUUAUCCCUUUAUGAGAGACUGGGAAUAGGGGAACUUAAGUCGACCAGGAUGACCCUACAAUUAGCGGACCGUUCUGUUAAGUACCCAACUGGAAUCAUAGAAGAUGUCCCCGUUAAGGAAGGAGAGGUGUACAUCCCCGCUGAUUUUGUUGUAAUGGAGAUGGAGGAAGACAACCAAGUACCAAUUCUUUUAGGAAGACCUUUCCUUGCUACUGCAGGAGCCAUCAUUGAUGUUAAAAAUGGUAAGUUAGCUUUUAAUGUUGGUGAAACUGUUGAAUUUGAACUUGCCAAACUAAUGAAAAGUCCUUCCAUUAAGGACUCUUGUUGCAUGAUAGAUAUAGUCGACCAUUGCGUGAAAGAAUGCUCUUUAGCAUCAACUACACAUGAUGGUUUGGAAGUAUGCUUGGUAAACAAUGCAGGUACAAAGCUGGAAGGGGAGGCGAAAGCUUAUGAAGAGUUGUUGAAUAGAACCCCUCCAAUGGAAGGUUUAAGUAUGGAGGAAUUAGUAAAGGAAGAGCCAGCACUUCUACCAAAGGGAGCACCGAAAGUAUAGCUUAAACCGCUUCCAUCAAAUCUAAGUUAUGAAUUCUUGGGCCCUAACUCAACCUACCCUGUUAUUGUGAAUGCAAGCCUCGAUGAAGUGGAAACUGAAAAGUUACUUUAUGUCCUCAAGAAAUAUCCUAAAGCUAUAGGGUACACCAUUGAUGACAUUAAAGGAAUAAAUCCUUCGUUAUGCAUGCAUAGGAUACUUCUUGAAGAAGACUAUAAACCCUCCAUUGAACAUCAAAGUAUGGAGGAAUAUGAAAGAAGUUGUGAAAAAAGAAGUUUUAAAACUUCUAGAUGCAGGUGUUAUUUAUCCAAUUUCUGAUUCCAAAUGGGUUAGCCCCGUGCAAGUCGUACCUAAGAAGGGUGGUCUUACAGUUAUUAAAAAUGAUAAAAAUGAAUCCAUUGCUACUAGAACCGUCACCGGUUGGAGAAUGUGCAUCGAUUAUAGGAAGCUUAAUAAAGCAACCCGUAAAGAUCACUUCCCUCUCCCUUUUAUAGAUCAAAUGUUAGAAAGGUUAGCAAAGCAUUCACAUUUUUGUUACUUAGAUGGUUAUUCCGGAUUUUUCCAAAUACCCAUUCACCCUAAUGACCAAGAAAAUACUACUUUUACAUGCCCCUUUGGAACCUUUGCCUAUAGGAGGAUGCCUUUUGGUCUUUGUAAUGCCCCUGCUACUUUUCAAAGAUGCAUGAUGUCUAUUUUUUCUGACUUUGUUGAAAAGAUAAUGGAAGUUUUUAUGGAUAAUUUUUCUGUGCAUGGAUCUAGUUUUGAUAAUUGUUUGACUAACCUUGAAAAAGUUUUGGAAAGAUGUGAGUAGGUGAACCUAGUCUUGAAUUGGGAGAAAUGUCACUUCAUGGUAAGAGAAGGAAUUGUCCUGGACACUUGGUCUCCGAAAGAGGUAUAGAGGUAGACAAAGCAAAAAUCGAGAUUAUUGAAAAAAUGCUACCUCCCACCUCAGUCAAAGAAAUUAGAAGUUUCCUAGGACAUGCAGGGUUCUACCUCCGUUUCAUUAAAGAUUUUUCAUCAAUCACUAAACCACUAACAAGUCUGCUUCUUAAGGACGCACACUUUGUCUUCGAUGAUACUUGUUUACAAGCAUUUUCUAGGUUGAAGGAAGCAUUGAUUACUGCCCCAAUCAUACAACCACCAGAUUGGAACUUGCCUUUCGAAAUAAUGUGUGACGCAAGCGACUAUGCAGUUGGGGCGGUGUUAGGACAAAGAAAGGAAAAAAAGAUGCAUGCCAUAUACUAUGCAAGUAAGACCCUAGAUGGGGCACAAGUAAAUUAUGCCACAACAGAAAAAGAAUUAUUAGCAGUUGUAUAUGCCAUUGACAAAUUCAGGCAAUACUUGGUGGGAUCAAAAAUCAUUGUUUACAUAGAUCACUCAGCCAUUAAAUAUUUGCUAAACAAAAAAGAUGCCAAACCGAGGUUGAUCCGAUGGAUUUUGCUCCUCCAAGAAUUUGACCUUGAAAUAAAAGAUAAAAAGGGUGUUGGCAAUGUUGUAGCUGACCACUUGUCCCAACUUAGGGAGACCAAUGAAGAUGAACUACCCUUGGAUGAUUCUUUCCCGGAUGACCAACUCUUCUUAUUGGCACAAACUAACGCACCUUGGUAUGCAGAUUUUGUUAAUUUUCUUGCAGCCGGAGUACUGCCACCUGAGUUGAGCUACCAACAAAAGAAGAAGUUCUUCAAUGAUCUCAAGCAUUAUUAUUGGGAUGAGCCUUACCUCUUCAGGAGAAGCUCAGAUGGGAUUUUCAGAAGAUGCAUUCCUGAAAAUGAGGUAAGUAGUAUUCUAACCCAUUGCCACUCCUCUUCUUAUGGUGGCCACGCCAGUACACAAAAGACUUCUUUCAAAAUUCUUCAUUCUGGUUUAUGGUGGCCAUCACUUUUCAAAGAUGUGCAUCUCUUUAUUUCUAAAUGUGACAAAUGUCAACGCACUGUUAGUAUUACUAAAAGAAAUGAAAUGCCUUUGAACAACAUCCUUGAGGAAGAAAUUUUUUAUGUUUGGGGUAUUGACUUUAUGGGACCUUUCCCCUCUUCUUUUCGGAAUCAAUACAUAUUGGUAGCGGUUGACUAUGUGUCCAAAUGGGUUGAAGUCAUUGCCUCCCCCACUAAUGAUGCACAAGUUGUUAUAAAACUGUUUAAAAAAAUUAUUUUCCAUAGGUUUGGAGUGCCAAGGGUUGUGAUAAGCGAUGGAGGAUCUCACUUCAUUUCAAAACAUUUUGAAAAUUUUUUGCAAAAACUUGGAGUAAGGCACAAAAUUGCAACACCUUAUCACCCACAAACUAGUGGACAAGUGGAGGUCUCAAAUAGACAAAUCAAAGCUAUCCUUGAAAAAAUUGUUUCAACCUCUAGGAAAGAUUGGUCAAGUAAGCUUGACGAUGCCCUUUGGGCCUAUCGAACGGCUUAUAAAACUCACAUUGGAAUGACUCCUUUUAAACUAAUCUACGGGAAAUCUUAUCACCUUCCGAUUGAGCUCGAGCAUAAGGCUUAUUGGGCAAUUCGAAAUCUCAACUUAGACCCCAAUUUAGCCGGUGAAAAAAGAAAACUUCAAUUAAGCGAGCUAGAAGAACUUAGGAUAGAUGCUUAUGAGAAUGCCCGCAUUUACAAGGAAAGAACUAAGAAUUGGCAUGACAAGAAAAUCAUCAAAAAGCACUUCAAAAACGGUGAUCUUGUGCUGCUCUUUAAUUCUAGGUUAAACCUCUUUCCAGGUAAACUAAGGUCGCGAUGGUCCGGUCCAUUUCAAGUUCGCACGGUCUACCCUUAUGGGGCAAUUGAAAUCUUUUCUGAAGAAACCAGAUCCUUUACGGUUAAUGGGCAAAGGCUUAAAAUCUAUACCGGAGAAGUAAAUGAAGUGGUGGCUGAUUUUACUCUAAGUGACCCUUCUUAAGGAUUUUUAUCCUUACUUUCGUCAAGCUAGUGACAAUAAAAGAGCGCUUUGUGGGAGGCAACCCACUGAUUUAAUUGCUUUCUUUGUUUUCUGUUAUUUCUUUUUGUUUUGUAGGUAAAUGUCCAAGAUUGAUUAGGAAAUGCAAAGUUACAAGACCCAGAAAGGUGGCACGGCUCGUGCUUGAUCUGGCACGGCCGUGCCAGGAUCCAACACACAAAAUCAACAUUAGUUGGUAGCAUGAUGGCACGACCCGUGCUAAAGUUGGCACGGCCGUGCCAAUCUGACAAGCUUCCAAGGUUCAAUUUUUGGCAAAUUGUGAGCUUUCCGCAUCUUUUCCCACUUUUUCCUUGUUUCUUUCAUUUUUCUUCUUCAAUCAUUGAGGACAAUGCUUCUCCUAAGUGUGGGGGGAGCCUAAUAAAGUGUCUUUAGUCGUAGUGUUUCCAAACUCCCUUGAACUUUAUUCUUUUUGUUUUGUUUUAUUGUGAAAGGCAUGAUUAAGUACCUCUUUUUUAUUGAAAAAUCAUGAAAUAAUUUUUUUUAUUGUCUCCUUUUAUUGGUCGUUUCUUGUACAUGAACGUAAAUUCUUGUGUUUUAAGUUCUCCUUAUAUACCCACAUCUUGUUUUAAAGUGAAUAAAAAAAUGCACAAGUUGCUUCCCUUGAGUAAAUGUAUGAAUAGGCAUUUUAAGGAAAUGUGUUCUAAUUUUAGUGGUAUGUUAACCUUUAAAAAUUCUCAAAGUAAAAAUAAUAUAAGUUAGCGUAAAGGAAUAAAAAGCCAAGCUUAAAAUUUAUUUCAAGGUUGCAUUAUUGAAUCUAGAUUGGGGAAGGAGGUAGGCCCUCCGACUUCCUACGUGAAGGUAAUGUUAUCUUAGAAAAGAAACUUUAAAAGGCAUCAUUGAAUCUAGAUUGGGGAAGGGGGUAGGCCCUCCGACCUCCUACGUGAAGAUGAUGUUUUUAAGGGGAACCAUUGAAUCUAGAUUGGGGAAGGGGGUAGGCCCUCCAACCUCCUAUGUGAAGGUGUUGUUCCUUAAAUAAAGUAUCCAAAAUGUAAUUGGCAAAAUAUCAAAAAGAUCACAAAAACUCCCAUCUCUCUUAUAUGAAUUGAAAGAAGAAUUUUUCUUGGUUAAUUUAGUACUAGGCUUAGAACAUAUUCCUCAUUAUAUCUAUCUUAUACAGGAGCAAGAAAAGGGUUGGACUACACACACACUCACUUAAGACUUCAUUGUUGGGUUGAAAAAGGAUUAUAAGAAAUGCUUUUGUUUGUGAUUAGUGUACUCUUUGAAAUAAAAGCCUUUGAGGAGACAUGUGCUUCAAUGUAAUUGUCAUAUGAUAAUGUUAUUUUAUGAUACCAUGUUUAUGCCUUUUGCUCAAGGACAAGCAAAGAUUCAAGUGUGGGGGAGUUUGAUGAGUCAUUUAUUGCUUAUUUUUAUAUGCUUUUUAGUUUAGUUUUAAUUAGAUUUUAUUUUAUUUUAUAGUAGUAUUAUUUCCUUUUUAGGAUAGUUUACUACAAAUUGUUUUUUAUUUUAUUUCAGGAAUGAAUAUUGGAUGGAUUGAGUCUUGGAGCAAAAGAAAGGGGCUUGGAGCUGAUUGAAUGCGAAAAUACGAAGAUUCGGAGACAAAAAUACGUCUCCCCCAAGUCAAAAGCUUGGCACGGCCCGUGCCAUCAUUGGCACGGCCGUGCCACCCUCCAGAGUCGCUUUUGCUGCUUUUGCUUAGAUUUUAAGCUACUCUAUUUUUAGCCCGAAUGUAAUUGCUUAGAUUUUAAGUCGAAUGUAUGCUAUAAAUAGAGUAGCCAUCCAUCACAAAUAUUCAUCUUUUCUUGGAAUUCAAUAAGUGACAAUUGCUUUUCGAAUUAAAGUUCUUUUCUUUUCC